AAGUCCAGCAAUGAGUACGGCAUACCGUUCUGGCCCAUAGAGGGUGAAAGGCCCGUGGGGGUAGAGACCAAGCAUGACAGUUUUGUCCAGAGCUUACCUUGGAGUCGGGUUGUUUGAGAAUGCAGCCCAAAGUGGGUGGUAAACUCCAUCCAAGGCUAAAUACUUGCACGAGUCCGAUAGUAAACAAGUACCGUGAGGGAAAGUUGAAAAGUACUUUGAAGAGAGAGUAAACAGUGCGURRAACCGCUCAGAGGUAAACGGGUGGAGUUGAACUGCGAUCCUUGGGAAUUCAGCUGAUGAGCAUGAUUUGUGCUUGGGCAUAUUGACCGCCUUUCAGUGUCUGCUUAGCUGCGGGUGCCUGCCUCUGGUGGGUAUGUGUGGUGCGCUUAUCAUGUGCCGCACGCAUUGGAGGGUGUAUGAGUCUGCUUGUCGGUGCACUUUCUCAGGGUGUUCACCACGACCGGCACUGCUGUCUGUCUGCUUUGGUCAAACUGAUCAGGUCUGAUUAACGUUGGGCUUGGUUGGGUUGGCAGGUGACUCACUGGUCCAUUCUGUGGGCUAUGAGUGUUACUAGCCGGCCUUAGUGGAUCUGUACGGUGUGUCGGAGACGGCGGCUUUGCAUAUGCGCUCUGUUCUUCAGGCGUGGUUGAGUCUGGUCGACUUGUUGCUAGUUUCGGCUGGUCAGUUGAUGGCUUGAUCAUGUUCAGUUGGCAGUGGUGUGUGUGUCUUAGUUUGGGCCAAUAGUCUGUGGUGUUGUGGUAGACUAUCCACCUGACCCGUCUUGAAACACGGACCAAGGAGUUUAACAUGUGCGCGAGUCAUUGGGCUUUACGAAACCCAAAGGCGCAGUGAAGGUAAAGGUUUGGCUUGUCCAGGCUGAGGUGAGAUCCUGUUGUUUUGCUCAUUUAUUCCAAGCUGCGAGCAGCAGGCGCAUCACCGGCCCGUCCCAUGACGUAGACAUGUGGCCUUGUGCUAUGUGCACCGUCGGGGCGGAGCAAGAGCGUACAUGUUGAGACCCGAAAGAUGGUGAACUAUGCUUGCGAAGGUUGAAGCCAGAGGAAACUCUGGUGGAGGACCGUAGCGAUUCUGACGUGCAAAUCGAUCGUAUAACGUGAGUAUAGGGGCGAAAGACUAAUCGAACCAUCUAGUAGCUGGUUCCCUCCGAAGUUUCCCUCAGGAUAGCUGGCAUUCUGAGAUAUAAACAGUUUUAUCCGGUAAAGCGAAUGAUUAGAGGCAUUGGGGAGAAAACAUCCUCAACCUAUUCUCAAACUUUAAAUGGGUGAGAAGCUUAACUCGCUUAAAUGGAGUUUUGCAUUGAAUGUGAGUGCCAAGUGGGCCAUUUUUGGUAAGCAGAACUGGCGCUGUGGGAUGAACCAAACGUGCGGUUAAGGUGCCUAACGCGACGCUCAUGAGAUACCACAAAAGGUGUUGGUUGGUCCAGACAGCAGGACGGUGGCCAUGGAAGUCGGAAACCGCUAAGGAGUGUGUAACAACUCACCUGCCGAAUCAACCAGCCCUGAAAAUGGU
rnacentral:rRNA from 1 species